GACCUGAUCGCACAACGGUUAGUGCAUCUGCAUGCAGUUUUUUUUCCAAGAAAAUAGGUUUAUGCAGAAGAUCCCCGUUCGACUCGGGGUCAGGUCA